rnacentral:rRNA from 1 species
CAGCCGCCACGGGAAUACGGAGGGUGCAAGCGUUAAUCGGAAUUACUGGGCGUAAAGCGCACGCAGGCGGUUUGUUAAGUCAGAUGUGAAAUCCCUGAGCUUAACUUAGGAAUUGCAUUCGAUACUGGGAAGCUAGAGUAUGGGAGAGGAUGGUAGAAUUCCAGGUGUAGCGGUGAAAUGCGUAGAGAUCUGGAGGAAUACCGAUGGCGAAGGCAGCCAUCUGGCCUAAUACUGACGCUGAGGUACGAAAGCAUGGGGAGCAAACAGGAUUAGAUACCCCAGUAGUCCCUGUCUCUUAUAC